rnacentral:rRNA from 1 species
UACGUAGGGGGCAAGCGUUGUCCGGAUUUAUUGGGCGUAAAGAGCGUGUAGGCGGCUUGGUAGGUCGGUUGUGAAAACUGGAGGCUUAACCUUCAGACGUCGACCGAAACCACCUUGCUAGAGUCCGGAAGAGGAGAAUGGAAUUCCUGGUGUAGCGGUGAAAUGCGCAGAUAUCAGGAAGAACACCCGUGGCGAAAGCGGUUCUCUGGGACGGUACUGACGCUGAGACGCGAAAGCGUGGGGAGCGAACAGG